UACGAAGGGUGCAAGCGUUACUCGGAAUUACUGGGCGUAAAGCGUGCGUAGGUGGUGAGUUAAGUCCGUUGUGAAAGCCCUGGGCUCAACCUGGGAAUGGCAGUGGAUACUGGAAAGCUAGAGUGCGGUAGAGGGUAGUGGAAUUCCCGGUGUAGCAGUGAAAUGCGUAGAGAUCGGGAGGAACACCAAUUGCGAAGGCAGCUUGCUAAACAAAUAUUGACGCUGAGGCACGAAAGCGUGGGGAUCAAACAGG
rnacentral:rRNA from 1 species